rnacentral:lncRNA from 1 species
UGCGAAGCUGAGCAUCCCUCCUCUGGCUCCAGUAAUUGGCUCCCUGGGCAGUCUGUUCCUUUCUCUCCACUAAAUUAAGCUCCUUCUCUUCGGGUCUUGAUUGUUAAAACACCCUAUUUGCCCAUGCCAUUUACAUAUUCCAAUUACCCACUGCCAUUUCCCUGCUAAUGAGCCCAUGUACCUGCGUUCAAGAGCCUCUGGCCCCGAGCCUGCUUGUGCAGGAGGGCUGAACGUGGCAGGCAAAGGCUAUUCAUCGUGUCUUCAGACGAGCAGUGCCGAGGCUGUUUUCUCACCUUCUUCUCUCCCUGCUGGACCAACUCUCCACAUAGCAGACCUUUGUGCCUCAUUACCUGCCCCCACAGACAUCACGAUGCCUUUACCUUAGUGACAAGAAGGAAAGCUCCAUGCCAACUGGAGAAGGGCUCCGUGUUCUUAUUGCGAUCAUAAAAGGCCCAUUGUACCCUUAGACAAUUACAUGCGCAGAGCCCAUUAAGUCCAAGGUCUUCCUAAUUUCCAUCACUGAAUUCUUCACAGAGGGGAAGCAGAUGCUUGGGUGCUAAGUAACUGGACACAGGAUAAUGAGUGGCUGCACAAUGAUGCUGAAUGGGGAGAACUCCGGCUUUGAGACAGCCUGCUCUGGGCAGGAAUCCUGUCUCUGAAAACAUUCAGAUUUUCCCCCAAGGCCCAGAAGAUGGUGUCCCCAUAUUGGAAACUUCUUCUUCAUGAUGAUAACAUUUUCCCCAGCUUUCUGCACCUGGCUCACGGGGCAAGCACCUACUCAUCUUUCCAGACUCAGCUGAGCAUCAUCUUCUCUACGAAGCCUUUUCUGACCUCUUUUGUCCCCUCGGAUUUGCUGCCUGUCUCCUUUGUGACCGUUUAAACUGAGCCCCAAUGGGCUGCUAUCCUACCCAAGAUAGCAAUUCACUGCAUUUAUUUCUUGACUUGUCCACCCCCCCAUAGAGACUAAAAGCUCCU